CUCCAGCCAAUCAGAUGAAAGCGAAGAAGAGGGAGGGGCCCAAUUGCUUCGCCUCCACAACCGGGACGGAGAUAAGGGAGACCACGGUGUGCAGGAUCGGUGUUGGGAGAGUUCUUGUCACCAAAGUCACAUUCAGGAGCUCAGACCUUUCCAAGAUGUUCUGGGUUCCCCUUGUGAGCCUCCUGUUCGUCGUGUGGUGCACAGGUGCAAACUCUCAGCUGACAGUGACUCAACCACCGUUGGCCUCAGUAUCACUUGGGAACACCACGAAACUCUCCUGUACCAUCAGUAGGAAUGACAGAACCAUAUCCUGGUACCAGCAGAAGCCUGGGAAUGUCCCCCGAUACCUGUUAUAUUAUAGCUCAGAGUCCAGCAAAGGUCAGGGCUCUGGGGUCCCCUCUCACUUCUCUGGCUCCAAAGACUCCUCCGGUAGCAUUGGCUACAUGACCAUUUCUGGGGCCCUGGCAGAGGACGAGGCCAUUUAUUACUGCGCUGCAGGGUACAAUGGGUAUCACGGUGUGACAGUCUAA